UGGGGAAUAUUGCACAAUGGGCGAAAGCCUGAUGCAGCGACGCCGCGUGAGGGAUUACGGCCUUCGGGUUGUAAACCUCUUUCAGUAGGGACGAAGCGCAAGUGACGGUACCUGCAGAAGAAGCACCGGCUAACUACGUGCCAGCAGCCGCGGUAAUACGUAGGGUGCGAGCGUUGUCCGGAAUUACUGGGCGUAAAGAGCUCGUAGGCGGUUUGUCACGUCGUCUGUGAAAUCCUAGGGCUUAACCCUGGACGUGCAGGCGAUACGGGCUGACUUGAGUACUACAGGGGAGACUGGAAUUUCUGGUGUAGCGGUGGAAUGCACAGAUAUCAGGAAGAACACCGAUGGCGAAGGCAGGUCUCUGGGUAGUAACUGACGCUGAGGAGCGAAAGCAUGGGUAGCGAACAGG
rnacentral:rRNA from 1 species